UACGAAGGGGGCUAGCGUUGCUCGGAAUCACUGGGCGUAAAGCGCACGUAGGCGGAUUGUUAAGUCAGGGGUGAAAUCCUGGAGCUCAACUCCAGAACUGCCUUUGAUACUGGCGAUCUCGAGUCCGGGAGAGGUGAGUGGAACUGCGAGUGUAGAGGUGAAAUUCGUAGAUAUUCGGCAAGAACACCAGUGGCGAAGGCGGCUCACUGGCCCGGUACUGACGCUGAGGUGCGAAAGCGUGG
rnacentral:rRNA from 1 species